rnacentral:rRNA from 2 species
GAAUGCUUGCAUUAACCGUAAGAGGUUGAGUGGCGGACGGGUGAGUAACACGUGGGUAACCUGCCUAAAAGAAGGGGAUAACACUUGGAAACAGGUGCUAAUACCGUAUAUCUCUAAGGAUCGCAUGAUUCUUAGAUGAAAGAUGGUUCUGCUAUCGCUUUUAGAUGGACCCGCGGCGUAUUAACUAGUUGGUGGGGUAACGGCCUACCAAGGUGAUGAUACGUAGCCGAACUGAGAGGUUGAUCGGCCACAUUGGGACUGAGACACGGCCCAAACUCCUACGGGAGGCAGCAGUAGGGAAUCUUCCACAAUGGACGCAAGUCUGAUGGAGCAACGCCGCGUGAGUGAAGAAGGUCUUCGGAUCGUAAAACUCUGUUGUUAGAGAAGAACACGAGUGAGAGUAACUGUUCAUUCGAUGACGGUAUCUAACCAGCAAGUCACGGCUAACUACGUGCCAGCAGCCGCGGUAAUACGUAGGUGGCAAGCGUUGUCCGGAUUUAUUGGGCGUAAAGGGAACGCAGGCGGUCUUUUAAGUCUGAUGUGAAAGCCUUCGGCUCAACCAGAGUAGUGCAUUAGAAACUGGAAGACUUGAGUGCAGAAGCAGGAGAGUAGAACUCCAUGUGUAUAGACGGCAUGCACCAAAAUACGUACAUAUAUACAAGCUUAACACCCACCCUGGCGACAAGCGGCUCUCUCGGUAUGUUAACGGAAAACGCUGAGGGUCUUUCGAAAGCGUGGUGUAGCAAACAGGAUUAUGAUACCCUGGGCCAGUCCACCGCCGUAAACGAUGGAAAUGCUAGGUGUCUCUUGGAGGGUUUCCAGCCCUUCAGUGCCGCAUGCUUCCAAAUGCAAUA